UACGUAGGGCGCAAGCGUUAUCCGGAAUUAUUGGGCGUAAAGAGCUCGUAGGCGGUUUGUCGCGUCUGCCGUGAAAGUCCGGGGCUCAACUCCGGAUCUGCGGUGGGUACGGGCAGACUAGAGUGAUGUAGGGGAGAGUGGAAUUCCUGGUGUAGCGGUGAAAUGCGCAGAUAUCAGGAAGAACACCCGUGGCGAAGGCGGCUCUCUGGAACGCAACUGACGCUGAGACGCGAAAGCGUGGGAGAACAG
rnacentral:rRNA from 1 species